GUCGGCGGUGAUGUCGAAACUCACCUUGCUUCCGGGCAGCACAUUGAUGGUGUGUUUCAGUGGAUGACGUCCGGGAUGCCCGUUCACCAACUCCAUGAAGUGGCCGUGAAUGUGCAUCGGGUGCUGCAUCAUGCUGUUGUUGACCAUGGUCACGCGCACGCGCUCGUUGCGGGCAAGACGGAUGGGCUCUACGCCGUCGCUGAACUUCCGGCCGUCAAUCGACCAUAUGAAGCGGUUCAUGUUGCCGGUCAGAUUGAUUUCCAGGGUGC
rnacentral:misc_RNA from 1 species